rnacentral:rRNA from 1 species
AGUCGAACGGUGAAGCCAAGCUUGCUUGGUGGAUCAGUGGCGAACGGGUGAGUAACACGUGAGCAACCUGCCCUGGACUCUGGGAUAAGCGCUGGAAACGGCGUCUAAUACUGGAUAUGAGACGUGAUCGCAUGGUCGUGUUUGGAAAGAUUUUUCGGUCUGGGAUGGGCUCGCGGCCUAUCAGCUUGUUGGUGAGGUAAUGGCUCACCAAGGCGUCGACGGGUAGCCGGCCUGAGAGGGUGACCGGCCACACUGGGACUGAGACACGGCCCAGACUCCUACGGGAGGCAGCAGUGGGGAAUAUUGCACAAUGGGCGGAAGCCUGAUGCAGCAACGCCGCGUGAGGGAUGACGGCCUUCGGGUUGUAAACCUCUUUUAGCAGGGAAGAAGCGAAAGUGACGGUACCUGCAGAAAAAGCGCCGGCUAACUACGUGCCAGCAGCCGCGGUAAUACGUAGGGCGCAAGCGUUAUCCGGAAUUAUUGGGCGUAAAGAGCUCGUAGGCGGUUUGUCGCGUCUGCUGUGAAAUCCCGAGGCUCAACCUCGGGCCUGCAGUGGGUACGGGCAGACUAGAGUGCGGUAGGGGAGAUUGGAAUUCCUGGUGUAGCGGUGGAAUGCGCAGAUAUCAGGAGGAACACCGAUGGCGAAGGCAGAUCUCUGGGCCGUAACUGACGCUGAGGAGCGAAAGGGUGGGGAGCAAACAGGCUUAGAUACCCUGGUAGUCCACCCCGUAAACGUUGGGAACUAGUUGUGGGGACCAUUCCACGGUUUCCGUGACGCAGCUAACGCAUUAAGUUCCCCGCCUGGGGAGUACGGCCGCAAGGCUAAAACUCAAAGGAAUUGACGGGGACCCGCACAAGCGGCGGAGCAUGCGGAUUAAUUCGAUGCAACGCGAAGAACCUUACCAAGGCUUGACAUAUACGAGAACGGGCCAGAAAUGGUCAACUCUUUGGACACUCGUAAACAGGUGGUGCAUGGUUGUCGUCAGCUCGUGUCGUGAGAUGUUGGGUUAAGUCCCGCAACGAGCGCAACCCUCGUUCUAUGUUGCCAGCACGUAAUGGUGGGAACUCAUGGGAUACUGCCGGGGUCAACUCGGAGGAAGGUGGGGAUGACGUCAAAUCAUCAUGCCCCUUAUGUCUUGGGCUUCACGCAUGCUACAAUGGCCGGUACAAAGGGCUGCAAUACCGUGAGGUGGAGCGAAUCCCAAAAAGCCGGUCCCAGUUCGGAUUGAGGUCUGCAACUCGACCUCAUGAAGUCGGAGUCGCUAGUAAUCGCAGAUCAGCAACGCUGCGGUGAAUACGUUCCCGGGUCUUGUACACACCGCCCGUCAAGUCAUGAAAGUCGGUAACACCUGAAGCCGGUGGCCCAACCCUUGUGGAGG